CCACCAACCAACGAAGUACUGGGCCUGUGGGUAUUCGUCUCUCUCCCCGCCCCUGAGAGUCUGGGAAAGGCUGACACGUGGUGCCUUCAGGCUCUGGGGCCUAGGACCUUUGUGGUAGCAGAGUCACUGCAGAGAACCAGACAAUACCAGGUUGCUUAUAAAAGGAUGCCAUGUGCUUGCUGGAGGUCCCAGGUGCAACCAAAUUGCUUGCAGCUAGGAGGACCUUGAAGAGAAAUGGGAUCAGCCCGCCAAACCAAGAAGGGUUAGCACUUUUGCUAGGAGAGCUGACCACGCACAAACAGAUGAGAACCAAAACCGAGUGAAGAGGAUUGAAGAUGAACCCACAUUUUAAAAGUUCUUGUCUGCUGGAGGUGGCAUUACCUGUGACCUCGCUUCACUUCUCCAUACAUGGCUGUUAUAGCAGAAAAUCCAGCUUUCUGAAGCAUAUUUCACGACAUAUGAUGAGACUUAUGUGAUGUGAGACCUGAGAAAACUAUGAUAGAAAGAAGCAACUCAAGUUGCAAGGAUAUUCCUCAUGUAUCAUGCAAGGAUAUUCCUCAUAUAUCAUAGACUAAGGUGUCAGUAUGUUCUUCAAGCUGCUCUGCUCCUGGGCCCAAGCUAUUCUCCUGCCUCAGCCUUCCAAGAAGCUGAAACUACAAGAACACAAGACUGUACCUGGCUUGCAAACACCAUUGCUAAUAAGAAGAUAUUGUAAGACUGAUACCUAAGAGAUAAGAGGCAUGGAUCCCUGAGGUCUGCCCCAGUACUAUAAGACAAUUUGAUGUAAGAAAACACAGCAGAUAUAAUACUGAGUGAAGAAGAGUAUAAAUGAGAAGAUUGGUUGUGCAGAUACUGAGUUCAUGAAAAGAGGAGAUGAUUGAUGAGGCCAGGUGCGGUGACUCAUGCCUGUAAUCCCUGCACUUUGGGAGGCUGCGGCGGGCGGAUCACCUGAGGUCAGGAGUUCGAGACCAGCCUGGGAGACAGAGCAUGGAAACCUAAGGUCUGUACCCAAAACUACAGGACUAUUUGACAUCAUAAUAAAACACUGCAGAUAUGAUGCUGAGUAAGAGUAGAAAUGGGAAGACUUGGUUGUGCAGUAACUGAGUUCUUGAAAAGAGGAGAUGCUUGAUGAGGGCAUGGAUCACUAAGGUCUGUUCCCAAUACAAGAAGACUCUUUGACAUCAUAAUAAAAUACUGCAGAUACGAUGCUGAGUGAAAAAGAGUAGAAAUGGGAAGACUUGGUUGUGCAGAAACUGAGUUCUUAAAGAGAGGAGAUACUUUAUGAGGGCUGGAGUGCACUGGAGCAAUCCUGGCUGGCCAAUACUGAGUUCUUGAAAACAGGAGAUGCUUGAUGAGGUUGCAGGGCUUUGACUCCUGGGUACAUGUAUCUCAUCUGAAAGGGAAUCCUGACGCCUACUGAAUCUUAAUAGUCAAUAUUGAUAUCUGGCAUCAAAUUCAAGUUGACCAAAGUUCCAUCUUCAGACCUGGGAGAAGAUGACAGUCAAAAUGAACUGCUUUCAUGUGACACUGGACCAGGCCUAUAUACAAAGGCAUAAGUAAUCAUUGAAUAAUGUUUCAUCUAUCUAUCUUAAUAUAAUUUGUUCUAUGCCUUACUAGAUAAAUGUUUAGUUACCUGUGAGUUUUCUUUUCCUGCCAUUGUCAGAGCUAGGCAGGGCUUAAGUCCCUUUCGUUUAAACAUUACUAACUCUAUACAUAGCUUGCAAAAUUGGAUAAAACAACAAAGGUUACUUUUUCACUCUCUCUCUGCUUAAUAUCUCUGAAAUUUAAAACUAUUCAGAAUCCCACUGGGCCCGAUCUAUUUUCAAUGCUAAUGCUCCACUGCUAAAACUAUAUAAGCAUCUUCCCUCUAGGCUCAGGCACUAUCUUGGAAGAGGUAAAUGUGUAAGAUUGUAAAGGUUGAUUUUUGAGCAACAAAAUUAAUUUAGAUCUUCCAAAUAAAAAAUGGGCACACAGAUGCCCAAACAGUUGGCAAAAUAAGAUACUUUACCUCCUGGACCAGUAUGUGGACCUUUUUCAUCCAUCCCAACCAUAAUUUCCUCUUUCCUGUAGAAUUAAAAGAAAAUUGCAAAGAGGAUAUGAACUUUUCUGGUAAGAAAACCUCCUGGGUAUAGUGCUCCCAGUUAUGAGAUUUAUGCAGAUUGUUAUAUAAAGUUUUUUUAAAUCAAGCACCUUAGGACAAACUAUUAAAAAGACUGCUAAAAGCGUUGUGACACAACAAAAGUCUCUAAAUUCUGUAGCUUAAAAAGUUUUAACAAAGUACUUAUCUUUUGCAAGCUAAUUGCUACAAGUCUAUAACUAAAACAUGUAUUGACUGAUGUCUUAGGUCUCCCUAAAAUAUAUAAAACCAAGUUGUAAACCAAUCACCUUGGACACAUGUUCUCAGGACCUCUGGAGACUGUGCCUUGGGCCAUGGUCACUCAUAUUUGGCUGAGAAUAAAAUUUUAAAAAUAUUUUACAGAGUUGGGUUUUUCUUGUUGGCUUUUUCAUAAAAUGUAAAAUGUUUGAGAAAGACACUUCUCAAGUGGCCAAGUGAGGAUAUUCUAGCUUAAUGCGUAGAAUUUAUAGCUAAGUCAAUUUUGUAACCUUGCCUUUUGACUUUUGGUUCUUGAUGCUUACAUUACAAAAUUUUAAGGUUUGAUAAAUGCCUGCUCCACUUCCAUUCCCAUCUGGCCUAGGAUAUUUAAAUUGGCUAUAAGUCUUUUGGCUCUACAUCUGUUGGCCGUGAGUCCCCACCAAGGGAUAGGAUAGACCCAGGGCACAUAGCCACACCACCCCAGCAAUGGUAUGCAACAAAAUGAUAGUUUGGCCAUUGAUGUUGCCUCUGGGAAAUUUUUUUUUUUUUUUUGACGAAGUCUUGCUCUGUUGCCCAAGCUGGAGUGCAGUGGUGUGUUCUAGGCUGACUGCAACCUUUGCUUCCUGGGUUCAAGUGAUUCUCUUGCUUCAGCCUCCCAAAUGGCUGGUAUUACAGACGUGCACCACCACACCUGGCUAAUUUUUUUUUUUUUUUUUUGAGACAGAGUCUCACUCUGUCAUUCAGGCUGGAGUGCAGUGGCACAAUCUCGGUUCACUGCAACCUCCAUUUCCCGGGUUCAAGUGAUUCUCCUGCCUCAGCCUCCUGAGUAGCUGGGAUUAUAGGCAUGCACCACCAGGCCCAGCUAAUUUUUGUAUUUUUUUGUAGAGAUGGGGUUUCGCCAUGUUAGUCAGGCUAGUCUCGAACUCCUGACCUCGUGAUCCACCUGCCUCGGCCUCCCAAAGUGAUGGGAUUAUAGGCGUGAGCCACUGUGCCUGGCCUAAUUUUAGUAUUUUUAGUAGAGAUGGGGUUUCGCAAUGUUGGCCAGGCUAGUCUCGAACUCCUGACUUCAGGUGAUCUGCCUGCCUUGGCCUCCCAAAGUGCUGGGAUUACAGGUGUGAGCCACCACGCUUGGCCUCCUCUGCUCAAUCCUGACCAGAAAAAUCAAAUUCUAACUCCCCCAAUCAACUGAAUUCCCCUCCAUUCAUCUGCCAAGGGGAUUCUAAAGAAUCCUGAAAACUAGUUCAGGCCAUGACAAUUGACAUUAAAACAGAUCUUAAAACUGACAAAACAGAUUCUUUGUAGCAAUAAGAUACCAAAUUUCAACCUGACUCAGGUAUAACUUCACAUGAUAAAAAAGGAAAUAAAAAUAUUUUACCCCCAAAAUAGAUUUCUUUGACAUAUUUUGAAAUGGCCCUGCAAGGCAGUUGGGGAAAUUUUGCAUCUGUAAAGCAUCUCCUUAACAUAACUAGAUCUUUCCCCUUCCAGGCCCUCCUAAACCUGAAGAGAUUAACUGAGAUUCUAGCACCUUUUAAAGUCUACAUAGGAAACAUUCACCAUUUAUUAUCUCUAAGGGCAGCCACUUAUGAGACUUCAUCUAUGUAAUAAAAACCUUGGUCUCCACAACCCCUUAUGUUAACCCAGACACUCCUUUCUAUUGAUUCCAGGUCUUUAGAAAAUAACUUAACUCCUCCAAGCAAUUGCCAAACAGAAAACCUUGGCAUCUUCCUAUGACCUGUAAGCACCCACUUUCCCCUGCUUUAAGUUGUCCUACCCUUCUGCACCAAACCAAUGUAUACCUCACAUGUAUUGAUUGAUGUCUUCUGUCUCUCUAAAACAUAGAAAAGAAAGCUGUAACCCAACCACCUUGGUCAGGACGUCUUGAGACUGUGCCUUGCGCCAUGGUCAGUCGUAUUUUGUGCAGAAUAAACAUUUUUCAAUAUUUUACAGAGUUUGGCUUUUUUGUUGACUUUUUUCAUAAAACAUGAAAGAUUAUGUUUGAGAAAGGCGUUUCUCAAGUGACCAUGUGAAGAUGUUGGGAAAUCCUCUCGCCAAAGAACAACUAUGAAAUGGACAAAACCAACCAUUUCUGUGCUCUGGAAAUUAAAUGUGCACAACAAUGUUAAACUUUGGGCAAGAAAGUUUGAACUCUGAUACGGUUUUGAUUUGUGUCACUGCUGAAAUCUCUUGUGCAAUUGUGACCCUCAGUGUUGGAGGAGGGGCCUGGUGGGAAGUGAUUGGAUCAUGGGGGUGGAUUUCCCCCUUGCUGUUCUCAUGUAGUGAGUGAGUUCUCGUGAGAUCUGGUUGUUUAAAAGUGUGUAGCAUCUCCCCCUGCUCUCUUCCUCCUUCUCUGGCCAUGUAAAACCUGCCUGCUUCCCCUUUGCCUUCUACCAUGAUUGUAAGUUUCCUGAGGCCUCCACAGCCAUGCUUCCUGUACAGACUGUGGAAGUGUAAGUCAAUUAAACGUCUUUAGUCUUUAAACCUAUAAAUAUCUUUGUAACAACUUCCUUAGCUACAAUCUAUAAGUUAUUUAUAGAUUACACAGUCUCAGGUAGUUCUUAAUAGCAAUGCAAAAAUGCACUAAUACAAACCCUGUUUUGGUCUGGCCUGUGGCUGCUUCCGUAUUUCUCUUUCCUAGGUCCAUCUAUAGGGACAUUCUGCCAAGGUGAAAUAAAGACUGAUAAAAUUCCUUACUAGCAAACUUGUAUUACAAGAAAUAACUAAAAACAGUCCUUCAGUCUAAAAGGAAAUGACUCUAUAUGGUGACUUGAAUCCACAAGAAUAAAUGAAGGGCACAGGAAAUGGUAAAUAGCUGGGUUAAUAUAAAAAAGACUCUAUGUAUUGUUUUUUCAUUUUUUCUAUAUUAUCUAAAUGACCUAAGAUUAUGUGAAGUAAUAAUUAUUACAUUGUACUGUUGGUUUUAAAAUAUAUAACUGUAAUUUAUAUGAUAACAGACCAAUGUUGGAGGGGUUUGGAAAUAAAUAUGAGCAAAGUUUCUAUGUUUUACUUGAAGUAAGUUAGUAUUAAGCUGAUGUAUAUUCUGAUAGGUUAAAAUGUAUAUUGUAACCCUUAGAACAACUAUUAAAAUAAAUCAAAAGC
rnacentral:lncRNA from 1 species